rnacentral:rRNA from 1 species
CCUGACGCAGCGACGCCGCGUGGAUGAUGAAGGCCGAAAGGUUGUAGAGUCCUUUUGCUGGGGAAGAAUAAGUGUGGGAGGGAAUGCCCGCAUGAUGACAUGAACCGGCGAAUAAGCCCCGGCCAACUACGUGCCGGCAGCCGCGGUAACACGUAGGGGGCGAGCGUUGUUCGGAAUUACUGGGCGUAAAGGGCAUGUAGGCGGUCUGGUAAGCCUGGCGUGAAAGGCCACAGCUCAACUGUGGGAUUGCGUUGGGAACUGCUGGGCUUGAGUUAUGGAGAGGGAGCUAGAAUUCCUGGUGUAGGGGUGAAAUCUGUAGAUAUCAGGAAGAAUACCGAUGGCGAAGGCGGGUUCCUGGCCCAUGACUGACGCUGAGGUGCGAAAGUGUGGGGAUCAAACAGGAUUAGAUACCCUGGUAGUCCACACUGUAAACGAUGUGCACUAGGUGCUGGGGCGGUAGCUUCAGUGCCGGAGCGAACGUGGUAAGUGCACCGCCUGGGGAGUAUGCUCGCAAGAGUGAAACUCAAAGGAAUUGACGG